UUUCCUAUCCUGGUCCUGCAGCAGGGGCCAAGGGUGAGGCUGCUCGCCUAUUAAAAGGGAACAUGAGCUGGGUUUAGACCGUCGUGAGACAGGUCGGUCUCUGCCUGAUGGAAGCGUGAAUAACUGAGGGGAAGUUGCUCCUAGUACGAGAGGAACAGAGCAGCGUGGCCACUGGUUUACCGGUUGUCUGAUAAGGCAGGCCGGGCAGCUAAGCCGUUUGGGCUAAGUGCUGAAAGCAUCUAAGCACGAAUCCCAUCCCGAGACAAGUUAUUCUUUCGUAAGAUGAAGGUCGGCAGCAAAAUACUGCGUUGAUAGGAAGGUGGUGUAGAUCACAAGCUUCGGCGAGUGGUGAGCCAGCCUUUACUAAUAGACCAACACAUCAGUUCA
rnacentral:rRNA from 1 species